CGAAGGGUGCAAGCGUUACUCGGAAUUACUGGGCGUAAAGCGUGCGUAGGUGGUUUGUUAAGUCAGAUGUGAAAGCCCUGGGCUCAACCUGGGAACUGCAUUUGAUACUGGCAGGCUAGAGUGCGGUAGAGGAUAGCGGAAUUCCUGGUGUAGCAGUGAAAUGCGUAGAGAUCAGGAGGAACAUCCGUGGCGAAGGCGGCUAUCUGGGCCAGCACUGACACUGAGGCACGAAAGCGUGGGAGCAAACAGGAUU
rnacentral:rRNA from 1 species